GACGAACCGUGCGAACGUUAUUCGGAAUCACUGGGCUUAAAGGGCGCGUAGGCGGGCCCGUUAGUCAGGGGUGAAAUCCCACGGCCCAACCGUGGAAGUGCCUCUGAUACUGCGGGCCUCGAGGGAGGUAGGGGCGUGCGGAACUCAGGGUGGAGCGGUGAAAUGCGUAGAUAUCCUGAGGAACACCGGUGGCGAAAGCGGCGCGCUGGACCUCUUCUGACGCUGAGGCGCGAAAGCCAGGGGAGCAAACGGG
rnacentral:rRNA from 1 species